rnacentral:lncRNA from 1 species
AAAUAAAACGACGAAGGUGAGGAGCCAUGACAGUCAUGGGGAGAAAAUUGUGGCAGCAAUAACAUAACUGGUGGUUGUCCCGAAGAUGUCAAUGGGAGAAGAAUAAUCACAAACAUAAUACAUAUAACAUUUCAUUUCUAUUCUAUGUGUAUAAUGUAGAAGGUAACAAAAAAAAGAUCAUCUUUCCCGAUCAAAUUUUAGUAAGUAAGUAGUAACUGAUGGUGAUGGAGAAUAAAUGAAUAUGGCGGCAACAUAGAAGAAGAUGUAUCUUAUGGUGGAAGACGAAUAAAAUUUGUUGUUGGCAUGUUAGUGGAAGAGAGAAUACACAGUGUUGAGAGGUGAUAAUUAAGAAAAUGGUGGAGAUGAUGACGAAGCUAAUACGGUGGCGGCGAUGAAACAAAUGAUUAUGAUGGUUGUGCUGGUUGUACAUAUAGAGGUGAUUGAAGCUAUGUGACGGAGAUUUAUUUGUUCGCCGUAUAAAAAAAAACCAGAAAUUUGAGAGAGGGAGAGAGAAGAAGGAAAAAAAUUUAUUACGUGUGGAUGUGUGACUUUCUAGUGGACACAAAUUAUUUUUAAAAUAUAAUGAUUAUUAAUUUCCUUUUUUGCAGGUUUUACCGGUUACAAUAGAGGAUAAUAUGGCUAUAUUACAUAAAAUACACAUGAUACAAUGAAGGGGUUUUAGCUAUAGAUUGAAUUAUAAUUUUUUUUGUGGUCAUACAGCCCAAUUUCCAUGCUAUAUAUAUGUAUAUGCUUUAAGGCAAAAACCUAAAUUUAACUUUUUCUCUAAAGAACAUGUAUAAAC